GACAGAGGGUGCAAACGUUGUUCGGAAUUACUGGGCGUAAAGCGCGUGUAGGCCGCUCUGCAGGUCGGAUGUGAAAGCCCUGGGCUCAACCUAGGAAGUGCAUUCGAAACCGCGGAGCUUGAGUCUUGGAGAGGAUCGCGGAAUUCUCGGUGUAGAGGUGAAAUUCGUAGAUAUCGAGAGGAACACCGGUGGCGAAGGCGGCGAUCUGGACAAUGACUGACGCUGAGACGCAAAAGCGUGGGGAGCAAACAGG
rnacentral:rRNA from 1 species